CCUACGGGAGGCAGCAGUGAGGAAUAUUGGUCAAUGGACGCAAGUCUGAACCAGCCAUGCCGCGUGCAGGAAGACGGCUCUAUGAGUUGUAAACUGCUUUUGUACGAGGGUAAACGCAGAUACGCGUAUCUGUCUGAAAGUAUCGUACGAAUAAGGAUCGGCUAACUCCGUGCCAGCAGCCUCGGUAAUACGGAGGAUUCAAGCGUUAUCCGGAUUUAUUGGGUUUAAAGGGUGCGUAGGCGGUCGGAUAAGUUAGAGGUUAAAUCCCGAGGCUCAACUUCGGAAUUGCCUCUGAUACUGUUCGGCUAGAGAGUAGUUGCGGUAGGCGGAAUGUAUGGUGUAGCGGUGAAAUGCUUAGAGAUCAUACAGAACACCGAUUGCGAAGGCAGCUUACCAAGCUACUUCUGACGUUGAGGCACGAAAGCGUGGGGAGCAAACAGGAUUAGAUACCCUUGUAGUC
rnacentral:rRNA from 1 species